AGCACGUAACCGCUCGGAGACUGUCUGGAGUGUGUCUGAAAUUGAUAAAAUUCGGAGAUGGAGUUUUACUGCUCCUUGACUGUACUCAAGAAGGCGCCGGUCGGAAACGGGAAUUCCUUCACAUCUCCAUCAUUCAAAAGUCCCUGCGCUCAGCCUGAUGAAGAGUAAUUCACGUUGAAUGACGUGAAAGUUUUCUCCCUCCUGCAGUGUCACACUCGGCUCUUUAUGCACAGAAGGUCCAGCGUUCUCUCUGGCUUCAGGAAUCACACCCACCGAAUGUGUGGAGUGACUGUGGAUGAACAGGAGGAAGAUGUCAUGCUCCAGAAGAGUUUUUGGAGAUGAUGUUGCUUCUCUCGCUGCAGCAUGGAGCGCCCACUUUGUGCCGUCGUCAGCUAUGAUGCGUAACCACAAGCUGAGUGACAGGUCCGUCCCUUUGGAGCUCAAGGGGUUUUAGCUCGGGCUCAUUUCGGCGGCAUGGAUGAAGACUGACCGUCAUGAAGACAGUCCUGGGAGCAGCAGUGUCGGCUUGAACGUACAAAGACUAAUGGCGCAAGUAUGAAAAUGCAGAUAAGGGGUUGUUGUCAAAACAAGCCUGGGGAUUGUUCAAGGCCUCGCUGGUGCAUAAUGUUUUAAUCUCAAUGAUUGCAACGCUCCACCAGUAAAAUAAUACACCGCCUUGCAAAACAUGGGACCAACAGUGAGGAUGAACUGGUGACACGUUAAAUGGCUCGUAUGUAGUCGGACGACCCCCUUAUAAACACAAAACAUUCAGUUGUAAACUACUCUUAAACAUCACUACUAGUCUACUGUCGACAUCAAACGUAGAUCCACAGUUUUAGUAUAAAAUCUAGAAGAAAAUCUGUUUAAUUGCAUCGCGAUAGCAUUGCAUGUUUUUGUGCAUAAUGUGUGAGAUAAUGUAUGUUGGUAGGUUAAUUUCUGUCAGUGUUAGAUUGUACUCGUAGUCUUUUGUGCUGUUUGUGCUCUGUCUUACCUGGGUAACAAACAGAGGUUACAUGGGAUGUUAUGAUUCCCCUUGCACUUAUUGUUUUGAUUAGAACUGUUUAUUUAUUGCGCAAUGACUCUUCGUUUGCCUUUAAAAAAAAGCCUUUUCGAGAAUCAGUUUAGGAUUAUGAUUUUACUAUAGAAACUACAGACAGACAAUUUGAUAAAAGGGUGUGUCAUAUUGUCAUAUGUUUGCUCUGUAUCUUGUACUUGAACUUUGUGUUUUCUUAAAGGAGACGUUCAUUGGCAAGAGUUGUUUUUAAGUUGUUGUAAGUAGUUGUUUGGGACGCAUGACGUACUGUAUCACAAAAAAAAAGAUUAGAAUCCCAUACACUUCUCUUAUAAUGUCAGAGGCAAUACAAAGUGGGACAGCUGAUUGACAAACAUGACCCGCACUAACUGCGCAGCGCGAGUUGUGAAUGUGUCUUUAGCCUAGAAUAGCAUACUUUAGAAGUGCUAAUUCUGUAUUAAUAUUUAUAUCUCACAUUUUAAAUCGCUAUGAAUUAAUUGUAAUUCUCAUUUGCGCUGUAUACAUACAUAUAUUUAAGUCCUUAUUAUUAUGUUUAAAGGAUGUGUUCAUCAUGCUAUCUAAAGUAAAACCUCUGGCUUCUGUGCUAUAAAACAUUUUCGAGUGUUUUAUUUCUUCCCCACGAUGAAUCAUUUUUGAUCACAGCAUUUGUUUCAUGUGACGUUUUUUUUUUUUAAACCAUGCAAAUCCUAUUGAAAUGAUCGAAAAUCAGGAGAAUGAACCAAGUUGGCAAGAUAAACGUCCUGAUAAAUAGGUGAAUUUGAUCAUGAAACUUUUUUUUCAGGAGCCUUCUGUUUGGUUGUUUUUCUCUCCUCUAGCAAGUUCUCAUGUUACGCUAGAAGUUAUUUGUGCGUCUCUGUAUCUGCAGCUCCUUCACUCAAGGGUUGAUUUUGCAAUUGUGCUUGUGUUUUCUGUUAAAUCAAGACUUUUUUGCCCUUCAACGUUCUCAUUAGUCUGUCUCCUCAAUUAUUUCCCUCCUGCAGCCAUGUGAAACCAAAAGUUUAUUUUUCUGUUAUUUUUUUUUCCAUAGAUAACCCAGAAAUCACUGAAGACGCCUCCAAUAGAAGGUAACAUCAGAAAAACUUGAAGAUUAUUUUACACUUAAGUAACCAGCAUUCACAUUUAGACUAGCAUUAAUUCAUACCUUUAAAGUAAAUUCUUUUUCUAAAAUCUUUUGUAAAUGAAACAUGAAGCGAGAUAAACAUCAAGUGGUUUUCUGUUCUUGACUCACUGUCCGUGUUAAGGGGUGUUUGUGAAGCCAUUUUAUCUUUUGUAUGUGGUUGAGUUUGCACUUGUUAAUGAAUAAACCACUCUGGAGCAUUGCUGUUAAACUUCCUGCAAAUCAACAUGUCAGAGGCUUGUGUUGUAUAAUCUUUCAGGUUUAUUUACUCUUCUUUUGUAACUUUAAAGAGGCAGUUAAUUACACAAUUAAUACAUGAUUGAAACUAUGUACAUUUAUACCAAAGAAUACUUCCAACAUAAAAUAAAAAAUAGCAUUGUACUCUACAA